rnacentral:rRNA from 1 species
AUUGAACGCUGGCGGCAGGCCUAACACAUGCAAGUCGAACGGUAACAGGAAGCAGCUUGCUGCUUCGCUGACGAGUGGCGGACGGGUGAGUAAUGUCUGGGAAACUGCCUGAUGGAGGGGGAUAACUACUGGAAACGGUAGCUAAUACCGCAUAACGUCGCAAGACCAAAGAGGGGGACCUUAGGGCCUCUUGCCAUCGGAUGUGCCCAGAUGGGAUUAGCUAGUAGGUGGGGUAACGGCUCACCUAGGCGACGAUCCCUAGCUGGUCUGAGAGGAUGACCAGCCACACUGGAACUGAGACACGGUCCAGACUCCUACGGGAGGCAGCAGUGGGGAAUAUUGCACAAUGGGCGCAAGCCUGAUGCAGCAAUGACGCGUGUAUGAAGAAGGCCUUCGGGUUGUAAAGUACUUUCAGCGGGGAGGAAGGGAGUAAAGUUAAUACCUUUGAUCAUUGACGUUACCAGCAGAAGAAGCACCGGCUAACUCCGUG